rnacentral:rRNA from 1 species
AUGGAAUUGAGUUUGUCUCAUACGCUUCAUCUUUUUAAUAUCUUUCGUGAGAAUGAUGGAAAGGAACAUUGUGCUCAAGUACUAGAAGAAGAAUUACAUAGAAUUAUUGGCAUAAAAUAUGUGAAUGAUGAGCAUGAUUGCAAUGUUGUUAGUAUUAAUUCCCUGAAUACCCUUGAUGCUAAUGAUAUGCAAAGCCACAAGCUUGGGGAAGCUAUAUUUGAUGGAGAUGAUAUUGUUUGUCCCCCAAGCUUUGAUGAGAAAAUUUACUAUGAUGAAAGCAUGCCUCCUAUAUAUGAUGAUUAUUGUGAUGACACGUAUGCUUUAAAUAAUAAUGAUAACCAUGAAACGUGUCAUCUUGAUCUUAAUUUUCAAUCACAUGAUAGUUAUUUUGUUGAGUUUGCUCCCACUACUAUUCAUGAGAGGAAUUUUGCUUAUGUGGAGAGUAGUAAAUUUUCUAUGCUAGUAGAUCAUUAA